GGAAUUGAAAACUGCCACUGGAAAGCUGCAUCAUGAGCUGCUUAAGCUUCUAAAGUAUCCAAUGGAUUUUUAAUCAUAUGAGCCUUGAAACAGGGAUAUGAGAAAAGGCUCAAAGCAGAACCCUAAAAGUGGCCACUACCAGCAUGAGGAGACCAGCACGUCAAACUGGUAAGUGAGAAAGAUGAUUCAUGGGUCUCUCCUUUAUGUGUUAUUAAAUCUACUGAUGCCAUUUCUCAUGCAAAGAAUCCUCAUAGUUUACAAACAAAAAUGAGAAUGCUUCUAAAAUGUAGCCUAUGAAGUUCAUUCUCAUUAUGAGAAUACCUUGGGGAGGUGGUAUUAUGUGGGAAAUAUCACCAAUUCUGUUGCAGACAGACAUGGAUUUAAAGUAGCUAUGUGACUUUGUGAAAGCUUAAUUCUUUCCAUCUUACUUUCCUAAUUUUUAAAAUAGAGAUUAGGUAGUUGCCUUAUUAUGUUUUCCUAAGAAGUAGGAUUGCAUAUGAACAAUCAAGCAUUUCCUUAGCACAGAAAAGAGCUAAAAGAUAUGACUAAUAUUUAUUGAAUACAGUCCAUAUGCCAAGCAUUAAAUACUCAAUAUUUUAUUCAUUAUUUUAUUGACGACUCAACAACCCUUAAAGAUAGAUUCUAUUAUUACUCAUUUUACAGAUGGAGAAAUUGUGCUAUUGAAAGAUUAUGUGACCUGCCUUAAAUCACACAGUGUUCUCUGAGACGGUUGAGUGUGGUUUUAUCUGAUGCCAGAGUUUCUGUUCUUGUAUUUAUUUAUUUAUUUAUUUAUUUAUUUAUUUAUUUAUUUAUUUAUUUAUUUAUUUUCAUCUUUUUGCCUUUUCUUGAGCCACUCCUGUGGCAUAUGGAGGUUCCCAGGCUAGGGGUUGAAUCAGAGCUGUAGCCACUGGUCUACACCACAGCCACAGCAACGCAGGAUCCGAGCCACGUCUGUGACCCACACCAGAGCUCACGGCAAUGCCAGAUCCUUAACCCACUGAGCAAGGGCAGGGACCGAACCCGCAACCUCAUGGUUCCUAGUCGCAUUCAUUAACCACUGCGCCACAAUGGCAACUCCCUGUUCUUGUAUUUAUUAAUAAAGACAACAAACAUUUUAUUGGGUAUCAGGCCCCUUUUAGCUGACAUGCCAUGCUACUUCCCAAAUGAUUAUUACUUAAAAUAUAACAACUAUAUACCUAUAUGAAAUCUUAAAGUUUACAUUUAAGGUAUUAAUAAGUAAUUUUGUUUAGUACUCACCUAAUCUCUGUGGAGGACAAAGUAGGCAUUGUUAUUUAUAUUUCUACAGAUGGAGAAAUUGAGGUCCUGACAGAUUAACUGACUCCCUGGCUACAGCUCAAUGCUUCUCAGACUCUGUGGUUAAGGGUCAGUUUACUGUUAAUUCAUUUUAAUCCAUUACAGACUGAAUGACAUUACUAAAAGGCAGACACAAAAUACACAAGUCCACAUAUUUAUUAUUAUUCAUCAUUAUGUUACAGACAUAAAAUUGUAGUACCAAGAGGCUAUAAAAGUUUCUCUUCAUUUCUAUAGUCCUGUGGUACAGAUCAGUCAGUACAUGCAGACUGAACUAGCCUGUAUACCAGACAGUAAAUCAUAGCAUCAGUAGAGCUAAUAUGAGGAAAAUAUAACAUUUGAUCCUAGACCUUCCAUCUUCUAGUCUGGAUCUUUUCAAAUUGUCCCAUGCUACCUCAACAUACAGCAAGAAUCCUGUUUUAUCGCCUAAAGGACAAGAAGAUGAAAGCCAAAUUGUUCACAUGCAACCACUGCAAGAAAACUUGACAAUGACAAAAUAUCUUUAAAGAUUAAUAUGAAACGAUUGAUGUGAAAAAAAAAAGUUGGAAGUUUACAGGAAUGAUUUCUUUCCAAUUUGUUUAUAAGAAACCAAGACUUUAAAAAUUUGGUAUGUGAUAUAUUGUUGAUAUUCUCAACAUAUGUUUUUCUUUCCUCUUUUUGUUUUGUUUAUUCUUUGAAAAGUUAAGUUGUAUUUAGAAGGCUGGGCCUGUUAUUUCCCCAGCAGUAUAGAGAUCUUGUGUAAUUCUAGGAGAUAAAAGGGGUUCUUGGCCAGCUAUGAAGUGAAAAUGAACUCAUCUCUCCAUUACCGUAAAAAACCUCAAAAAUAAGUGCCACUUGUUUAUUUAAAAAACAACUACCAAAGAAAAUUGCAGCGUUUUUGGUGCAAAGUAAAAUGCACACUGAGUCAGCAAUGAAAAUUCACUUUGUAAGACAGUUUUGUGGCUUUCUCAGUUCUAUUGAAAUGGAUCCAAAUAUUUACAUGUGCUAUGUUAUUAAUAACUAUUUUGCCAUCUGUGUCAAAGUAGCAUGGCACAGAUGUUCAGGGAUAACUUUUGGUUGUGAGUAAAUAUUGCAGGAAUAUUGAAUUUUCCUGCAAAUAAUGCUGAUGGGAUGUUUUUUUAACCAUAGUUUAAGAUGUCCGAAAUAGUUGUUUUGAAGUUCUCCCAGCUUAACAGUGCUUAAUGCAGCUUAAAAUGGCUAUAAGGGCAUAGAGAAAGCUGGAAAUUUAUGACCAAAUUCAAAACUGAGACUUUCAGCCAGUCUAUUAUUAGCUUCUGGGAAGGUUCCACAUUGCUAAAUUGAAAUCCAUAAUUUGAAACAGAGCAAAUCAAUGGCCCUAAAUAAUAUUUAGAGUCGUGUUCCUCACUUACUUUCUUCCCAUAGACUCAGAGUUCCAAGAUUUGUAUCACUUGGAAAGUUACGCAGCUAUACCUUGGCCCCUCUCUUCAGUCUGGAUCUUUGUAUCUCUAUCCCUUUGAGGAUUAUCUUUCCUUCUCCCUCUGAAAAGGGUGAAAGGAAGAAAAGACUUAAAUACAUUGUAACCAAGAAAAGAGGGAGAGGAUUUCAUUGCUGGUGUGGUAGCAAUGGGAACAGUGACAAUAGAAUUGUGUGUGUGUGUGUGUGUGUGUGUGUGUGUGUGUAUUCAACUCCGUCAGAUCAUCAGAGAACCAGAGUGUGGAGAGAAGACAGUCCAGCAUUCUCGUCGAGGUGCUUUAUUUGAAUGCCUGAUAUUCAUUGGAAUUUAGACCUGGGGUUGUUCUCAAGCUACUCUUCAACAGUGAAGCUUAGGGACUUUCUACUCAAAACUAACUUGUCAGUAGGGCCAAGGGCUAAGGGUGAGCCUUAUGACUAGUCUGUUGAAAAAUACUGCCCUUCAGUAGAUUUUAUCACUUUCUCAGACCUAGAAACAAACAGUAGCAACAACACAAUCAAAAACAAACAUGGCCUGGAUAAUGAUUGUUUUGACAUGGGAAAUGAAAGCCUCACAGGUGAAACAUGUAGCAUAAUGUUAGUAUAAAAAAAAAAAAAAAGCAAAAUAUUUUAGAAAGUUGUUUUUCAUCCUUAACAUAGGCAUUGAUUAGCUUAGAAGUAAAAGCCAUUAAGAUGGAGAAAAUGGACAUGAUUGCAAGGAAACAGAAAAUGUAACAGAAGAAUUAAAUCUUCCUUUGGAGGCAACAACUAAUGAAAUCAAAUUUUGGAACAAAAACUAAAGAAGUACUCCUAUUAUGCAGAAGAUAAGGACUCAUGGAAUAUAACUAAAAAUAUAACCAGUGAAUAACUAGAUAGAACAACACUAGUAUUUCCCAGUAAGGGGUAGGGGGAGGGUCAAAUAGGGAUAGAGAAUUAAGGGGUACAAAAUAUUCUGUGUAAUAUAAGCUACCAGGCUAUAUUGUACAACUCAGGGAAUAUAAGCAAUGUUUUAUAAUAACUAGAUGGAGUAUAACUUUUAAAAAUUAUGAAUCACUGUAUUUUACACCUGUAACUUAUAUACUAUUAUACAUCAACUAUACUUAAAAAAAAAAAAAGGAGAUAUCUUCUAUUCUUACCUCUCAACUAAAAACAGUAGCCAGGCAAAUGAGUAGUUGUUGUUGAAUGGGUAUAGGGUUUCAGAUUUGCAAGAUGAAAAAGAAUUCUGCAUAUGGAUGGUGGUGAUGUUUGUACAACAGUGUAAAUGCAGGGAAUGCCACUGAACUGUAAACUCUAAGAUGGUUGAGAUGAUAAAUUUUAUUUUACGUGUAUUUUACCACAGUUAAGAAUAAUAGUUUAAAAGACACUAACAUGACUUUACAUUGUCAUUUUUCAUGGCUGGAUGGGUGUGUUAUUUCUACUUCCCUGUAUCCUCCCUCACCUCGUUUAUGUAAGCCUGUUUUAAGAUAAAAGGUGAAUAUUUUAACAUCUAGGAUAUUAUUUUUAAUAAAAAAAUAUCUUCUGGCAAAAAAAUCAACUUCUCAAUUUUGCUCAACUUUUACCUUCCCAUUAGCUAAUUAAUGCAUCACAUUCUGUCCAUUUCAUCUUAUUUCAUUGGGUACAAACCAAUCUUACGACAGCAGAAUCACAGCUAAGUGGUGAUGAUGAGUUUAUUGCAAGAGAGUGAUUGCACACUCUAUUUCUGUGGUGGGAAAACUAUUUGUCCAGCCAUUUGAAACUAGGGAUAGCACAUAGGCAAGAGGCAUGAAUAUGACCCAGGAGGGCAGCGUGAUUUUGACAGAGGGCCUAGGGCUCUCACCCAUGCAGCAUGUGUGACAGCUCCAUCACUCUACCAGGCAUUUCCUCUUGUGGGUUGUGUAAUGGUUCAUUUGCCUCAGUACUAUUAGUUUCUAAACAGUGUGAGAGCUUGGCUGGUAAGCUGUUGAGAAAAUUUGGAGGUGCAUAAUUCAAUACUGUGUUGUCAAGUGGCAUGCUUUUGUAAAAUAAAACCAUAUUAUCAGAAAUUAGCUAGAUCAGAUUUGUGGCUACCAAAGGAGGGAGGCAGGGGAAUAGGAUGAGAAUGGGCAAAGGUACAACCAUCCACUUACAAGAUAUUUAAGUUCUGGGAAUGCAGCCUACAGUAGGAUGACUCUGGUUAACACUGGUUUACAGUAUAUUCAAAAGUUGUUAAAAGAGUAGAUUGUAAGUUUUCAUCACAAGGAAAAAAAACAUUUUUUUUCUUUUGUAGUUGUAUGGGAUGAUGGUUAUUAACUAAGCUUAUUGUGGUAGUCGUUGAAAUAUACAUGUGUAUUUAACAGUGGGUUGUAUAUAAUAUCUCAAUAAAGCUGAGAAAAAAAGGAACUUAUCUAGAUCCAAAUGCAUUUUUGUGGUAGUAAAUAUAUAUAAUAUAAAAGUUAAUAUUUUAACCAUUUUUAAGUGUACAGUUGUAACAUUAAGACUAUUCAUGUAGGAGUUCCCUUUAUGGCUCAGCAGGUUAAAAACCUGUCUAGUAUCCAUGAGCAUGAGGGUUCCAUCCCUAGUCUCACUUAGUGGGUUUAGGAUUCAGUGUGGCCGUGACCUGUGGUGUAGACCACAGAUGGGCUCAGAUCUGGCGUUGCUGUGGCUAUGAUGUACGUCAGCUGUUGUAGCUCUGAUUCGACCCCUAGCCUGGGAACUUCUUUAUGCCCUGGCACAGCCCUAAAAAGAAAAAAAAAAA
rnacentral:lncRNA from 1 species